UACGUAGGGUGCGAGCGUUAAUCGGAAUUACUGGGCGUAAAGAGCGCGCAGGCGGUCGGAUAAGUCGAAUGUGAAAGCCCCCGGCUCAACUGGGGAGGGUCAUUCGAUACUGUUCGACUCGAAGGCAGGAGAGGGAAGUGGAAUUCCCGGUGUAGUGGUGAAAUGCGUAGAUAUCUGGAGGAACACCGGUGGCGAAGGCGGCAUCCUGGACCGACACUGACGCUGAGGCGCGAAAGCUAGGGUAGCAAACAGG
rnacentral:rRNA from 1 species